rnacentral:lncRNA from 1 species
UAGAUUCUGUUUUGUGCUUGUGUGAAGUUGAUGUAUGAAUUUGUGCCUCAUUUGAGCUUGUUUGUGCAUACCUUGCCUUAUGGAAUUUAUUUGACAGUAUGAAUUUGUGCCUCAUUUGAGCUUGUUUGUGCAUACCUUGCCUUAUGGAAUUUAUUUGACAUGCUUCCACUUGUCCAAAUGGCUUGAAUUUUGGUAUGAUGAUCAUGUGAUGUGUGCUGUUUAACCGUGAUUUUUC